rnacentral:rRNA from 1 species
AAGGAUCAUUACAGUAUGAUUAGAGGGGUUUGAUGCUGGCUUUUAACUGAGCAUGUGCGCGCCCUUCGACUUCAAUCCACAUACACCUGUGCACCCUUGGCGAGUCAGUCUCCCAGCUGCGAAGUUGCGUCCUUGUGAAUUUAUUUGCUUGGAAUUGGGGCUGCUUGUCAUAUACAUUAGUACCAGUUUAUAACGCAUGUUUAAUUUGGCUCUACGGAGCUUUAACAUAAUACAACUUUCAACAACGGAUCUCUUGGCUUUCGCAUCGAUGAAGAACGCCGCGAACGUGCGAAACGUAAUGUGAAUUGCAGAAUUCAGUGAAUCAUCGAAUCUUUGAACGCAUCUUGCGCUCCUUGGUAUUCCGAGGAGCAUGCCUGUUUGAGUGUCGUGAAUACUCUCAAUCUUAAGUCUUUUUUUUACGAGAAGGCUUAGGGUUGGACUUGGAUGUUGCUGCGAUUUUUAAUUGCGGCUCGUCCCGAAAUGCAUUAGCUGGUCCACCUCGGUCUUAACAAACGGUGUGAUAAGAAACAUUCAUUUGUGACUGUAGCGCUGCUGUUAUAGACUGGUGAAAGGACUGCUUCUAAUCGUCUUAAGGACAAAAUUUCAUGUCAUCUGACCUCAAAUCAGGUAGGACUACCCGCUGAACUUAA